CCACGCCGUAAACGAUGAGUGCUAGGUGUCGGGAGUCAAAUCUCGGUGCCGCAGUUAACGCAAUAAGCACUCCGCCUGGGGAGUACGUACGCAAGUAUGAAACUCAAAGGAAUUGACGGGGACCCGCACAAGCGGUGGAGCAUGUGGUUUAAUUCGAUGCAACGCGAAGAACCUUACCCGGUCUUGACAUCCUAGGGAUGUUCUAGAGAUAGGACAGUGCCUUCGGGAGCCUAGAGACAGGUGUUGCAUGGCUGU
rnacentral:rRNA from 1 species